AAUUGUUUUGAAAAACCCAAAAAGAGUUGUUUUUGUAUGUUUAUUUGUGUUUUAAGGUACCUUCCAACACAAUGAUGAGGAUUUGGUUUAUAAUUGCAUGACUGUUAAAGAGAGUUAUAAACAUGAAUGAAAAUUUGAUUUACUCUUUGGUGUAUGCUUGGUUGUGGUUAUAAUUUAUGAAUUCACAUGCAAUCAUAAAGGAAAAAUCAGCUAUGUAACAUGCUUGAAAGAAGGAACUCAAAUGUACGCUACAACCUUGUGAGACUUGAGCCUAAACGUUUAUUUUGAGAGUUAAUAAUCUGUGCAUCAUUGUUUUCUAAAGUCGUUGCAUGAUCUCAUUAUUCUUUGCUUGGUUGCUACUUAGAAGGCGUUUCAUCAGUUAGUUCCAAAUGCUAGAACUCAUGCCUAUUUCAUUCAAAGCAUGUUAUUGAUUUGCAUAAUACAUAUUCAAGAUGAAGUUGUGUAGUGACCACCACAGCCAAAUUGUCGUGCCCUAUUUCAUUAUGUGUUUAAGUUUAACCCCAUUGAGCCUUGUGUAGCCUAUGUUCUUUGUUAACCCACACUAUCCUCACCUAGCCUAGAUUAGGACCAUCCAUACCCUUGUUCUUGAAGCAUAGUAAAACAUAAUUUAGAAGGAAUUCCUUUUGUUGAACUUUUGCAGAAAAACAAGUGUGGGGGAAGUGAUUCUUGUGUGUGUGUGUGUGUCAAAGUCCUUAAUAAGGCACGGGUAGAAAAGAAAAAGAAAAAAAAACAUUCGUGGAAAAUAGAAUGAAAAGAAGAAAAGUUGUAAAAAAGAGCCCUAAGUGUUGCAUGAAUCUUCCCUUUGUAUUUAAAAGUUGAUUCUGCAUUCUAAAGUGAAUUCCAAAGUGUCUAUUUCAUUGCUUUGCUUGCUAUCGCUUUAGGAACAUUUGUUAUUCCUAUCCUUUCUUUAUUAGCCAAUACCCCAAGCCCUGUUACAACCCUUGACUUCUAUCUUGAGUUUUAUGUGUUUCAAUUUGUGGAGUUUGAAUUUGGUAUGAGCAUAUGGUGUCACUCGUUCUCGCAUCUAAGUAGUAGCAUUCCAUUCAUGAGAUCAUAUCUAAACAUGCUUAUUAAUACCAGAAAAUGCUUUCUUGUUAUACAUAUAUGUGAUUACUAGUUUCCAUGUUUACAUCAAUCUUCUCACAUGUACCUAGUAUAGGGUGUGUAGUCAGAAAAUCUGAGUGAAAAUUGAGUGCAUAUCUUGUAAGGAAUUGAACAAAUUCUCUAAGGCAUGUUACUACAUUCAAAACAUCGUUUUAAUUGGUUAAAUGUGAACUAGUAAGUGGUGACUAUGAUUAAGUAUGUGCUCAAGUGUUAAGUUAACUAAAAUCUGUGGGAAUGAUGAUUUUUAACUUGUCAUGUGCGUUGGAAAUCCUUGAGGCAAACGAUGG
rnacentral:lncRNA from 1 species